rnacentral:rRNA from 1 species
UACGGAGGGUGCAAGCGUUAUCCGGAUUUACUGGGUUUAAAGGGCGCGUAGGCGGCCAGCACAAGUCAGUUGUGAAAUCUCCGAGCUUAACUCGGAAAGGUCAACUGAUACUGUGCGGCUAGAGUGCGGAAGGGGCAACUGGAAUUCUUGGUGUAGCGGUGAAAUGCGUAGAUAUCAAGAGGAACACCUGCGGCGAAGGCGGGUUGCUGGGCCGACACUGACGCUGAUGCGCGAAAGCUAGGGGAGCGAACGGG